CUUAAAUUUGAGUAUAAAAAACCUAUCAAUGAGUUGUAAUUUUUGCCGUGGUUAAAUGGAAACUACCUUCAACACGGUUUACCUAAUUUUAAGUUCCCCCACGAUACCACGAGAUUGAGUCAAAGGAACUCAAUUUUAGGUAGUUUUUCGUUUCCGUGAAAACUUGCGUUCUGGUUACUCAAUUUCAUAAUAUAAAGUCAAAGUUUGUGAAGUUUUGAGUUGAAUAAAACUAACUCUAUUGCAUCUUGAAGCGAAACUUAACUUGACAAUGCAACGAUUCAGCUCAUGAUCUAUUACAGUGAAGCAGUGUGUUUUCUUAACUUGCAAUGGCUCUAGGCAUGUGCCCAAAACCUAGGAUCUAAAACAACUUACCGGUCCGGCAUCGACUAACGGUUAACGGCAAUAAAGUAAAUCAUUUAUAUUUAUAAACCAACUAAAGAAUUAAGGAUUGAGUGGUGUAUAUGUCUGAUACAAGAUAGGUAAGAACUUCGUCAAUCAGAAUCAAAAUUCCUUUAAUAUUUUUUUGAGCCGGGAAAGUAUAAGAUGGUAUAUAGUGCUAUUUCUGGUAUAUGAAACAUACCCGCAGAGAUCUGCUCUUGUUGCAGCGUGGCAAUUAUGCAGCCGGAAGUACACCAACAACCGAUGAUGCGUCGAGGGCAGCCGUUUAACCUUGGCAUCCGGAGAGUAAACUAUUUUUAGGACGUUCGAGAUGUUUACAGUUCAGUGCAAUUCAUCCUCCUGUUUGCACAAUCGCAUAUCAACAAUCAUUGGAAUGACUAAAGAUUUUUCGCCGGAAAUCAGGAUUCGAGCUGGAAAAUAAGUAUAACAAUGACACUUAUGCAGAUGCGGAUAAGACGCUUAUAGCUGAUAGCAGCAAAAUAAAGAUUCAGAGUGGACUGCAGGUUGUUAGAGUGGAAGCGAUGUGCCAGUAUUCAGUAUUGCUGAGAGUAGAGAACAACUUAUUGCACCUGUCUGGCGAACGAAUGAGCGGCCAGGAGGCCGGUCAAACUCUGUCGAGCAAUGAAAGUAACGAGGUGGGAUCUACGUGCACGAUCCAAUGUUUCUGAACAAAAGCAACAUGUCUUUAUCCUUCGUUUGGUAGUAUAAAUUGAAACGAAAACAAGGAUAAGAUGGCGACUUGAUUUGGAGUGAGUGAUUUAAAGUGCGAGUCACAUUGUACCAGAAGCAUAGCUACAGUGCAAUAGAUGUAUUUCAUAAUGUUCUGUACUAAAUUAAUUUUCUUGUAGUCACAAUACCCGUGCGCAAAAAAAAGGGAUGUAGGGGUUCAAACUCCUCCCAUAAGGGUUUUGACUCACGUUUUAAAAAAUAUUAACUUCCUGUUUAGGAAAAAAAUAUACUGCGAGUCGUUGUUAUACAUAAAACAUCACUUGAGUUCGGUCACUCUAGAAACAAGUCAUUGAAGUAGCCAAGGAAGAAGCCAGGGUGGCUGAAAAGGGAUGUAAGUCAAGUUGGUCGGCUUCUCUGGAUCGGUUCACAUUUCGACAAGUUUUUAUAUUACAACAGUUGUGAGCACAAUAGUUACACAGCAAAGUCGGUCAGCGCUAAGCAAGAAAAAUUCAAAGUCGGAGAAAGUAGGGAUAUCGUAGUCUGGAAAAAUUUCACCGCUAAUGAUUUCUCCGUUGGAGUGACUGAUAGCUGAAUAACUCGUGGAAAUGGGCAUAGGUGUCGGAAGCAGUACCGCCGUCGAGGAAGUGAGGAACUUUCAGCACCAGUUAGCAAAUACAUAAGAACGAGUAGCGCCAAGAACCCUACCCUACGAAGACAAUUGCUAAGAAAUCAUUAUGGUCGACAAGUCCAGAUUGGUUUGAGUCUCCACAAAUGACGAUAUUUGCCGCAGACCUAAGCAGGACCGAUAUACCGCGAAGGUUGGACAGCAAGCAACAAAAAGUAGCAAUGAAAAAAAAAACACAAACGAUUAACACAAAAUAAAAUGAGCUACAGCACACUCGUUAUUAAAAUAGUACCUAAUAGUUGCCCCGGAAGAAUGAGGAUUGCAAGAUACAAGAGAUUUAGGUUUAGUCGUUAGGCUUAACUUAACUACUACAGAUCAAUCGCGGACACUAUCACGAGUUAGCAGACCGCGGUGUCUGUUCAAGAUUCCUUCCCGAUAACAAACAUUUACUAAAUUUGUUGAGCUAAGUCGAUUGGACACAGGGCUCGGCCCUCUAGGUUUCGAAAAAAAUCUCCAAAGCUUGAUGGUUUCUUUGUCAUUCUUUUAUAAGAAACGUAAAAAAAUCAAAACCCUCCCCUUGAGAAUUUUCUUCGCACGGGCCUGGUCGCAAUGAAUACAUAAAUGAUAAUAGUAGUAUUGGCAUUACGUCUAAACAUAUUUUGAAAAAUAAAUAAAUAUAGGUAUACGA